rnacentral:rRNA from 1 species
AGUUCGUGGAGUGAUCUGUCUGCUUAAUUGCGUUUCAUCAAGGAAACUGCUGUCGUUGACUGUUGCCUAUCUUGCAGAAAGUGUAGGUAUUGCAUCACGACACUAUUAGGUCCUGAAAGCAACGAACGUGAUCGUAACCUUUAAGUUGCCUUUAUUGAUGUUUAGAUAUGUAAUUGCAAAUAUUAUAUAUUUAUAUUCAAAAUUUUAAACAAUCGACCAAAAACUGACCAAAAACAAAAUCACAAAAAAACAAAAAAAGGCGGCAACGAAAACUAGAGGGACCACUGUAACUUUUUUAAACCAGAGGAGGGUUGCGGCAAUAACAGG